rnacentral:lncRNA from 1 species
UAGCUCUGAUUCAACCCCUAGCCUGGGAUCCCCAUAUGCCGUGGGUAUGGCCCUAAAAGGCAAAAAAAAAAAAAAAAAAAGUAAUAAAAAAAACCCAUAAAUCAUAAUGACAUUACUGGUCUAUUUCUACUUUAUCGUAAUUCAGUGCUCUGACAUUAGAAAAAAAAUAUAUAUACCCCAAAGCUUUAUAACAUUAUUAAUUUCUAAAUAAAUGUCUCAGUCAAAAUAUACUAGAAAAAGAGCAAUACUGGGAAAAAAGUAUUUGCCUUUCCUUCCUGUUGUGUAGAACAGCCUGCAAAUAAAAAGAUUCAAUACAUGCCCAGAAGGGACAGCACAAGCAAUCCAUGAGCACUGGUUUAAAUACAAUCUAAUGAAUGGAAUGUAUUUCUGCCUAUUAUUGUUAGGUUGUUGUCUUUCAAGUUUGACUUAGAGGCAUUUAUUCAGUUAGUCUGUCUGAGAGAUAGUUUACUUUCUGAAAUUUUUUAUUUUGCCUAUAUGAUUCUGAGAAUUUCUUUAUAAGAAUGGAUUUUUAAUAUUGAGGAAAAUUUUUCCCCUCAAAAUGCAAGGCAUUUUAUUUGGUUAUAUUGUGAAAUAAUGACUUUCUUUUAAAGUAACUGAAGUGGAGUUCCCGUCGUGGCACAGUGGUUAACGAAUCCGACUAGGAACCAUGCAGUUGAGGGUUUGAUCCCUGGCCUUGCGCAGUGGGUUAAGGAUCCUGGCGUUGCCGGGAGCUGUGGUGUUGCAGACGUGGCUCGGAUCCCGUGUUGCUGCGGCUCUGGUGUAGGCCGGCAGCUACAGCUCUGAUUCGACCCCUAGCCUGGGAACCUCCAUAUGCUGUGGGAGCUGCCCAAGAAAUGGCAGAAAAGACAAAAAAUAAAUAAAUAAAGUAACUGAAGUAUGUACUUUUUAAUAAUAAAGUGUCAUCUAAAUAGCAAUUUGGUUUAAAUGUUACUUAAUAGUUGUAUUUUUAUUUGAAAAAAUUGAAGAUAAAUUUAACUUUUUGGUUUUCAUAGAAAGAUUUUUCUGUGCUUAUGAUACUUCUGCAAAACUAACAGAAGAUGAUAAAUAGUGAAGAACUUCCAGUUAGAACAAUAGGCUAUUUCCCUUUUUAAAAGUCUGUUUGUCAUCCUUGUUGAUUGACAAAAACGCUAAUUGUUUUUGCAGUUAUUAAUCUAAACAUACCAUAGAUUAAUGCUGUACAGAAAAGUUUAUUUUAUUUAAACUUCAUGAAAUGAGUUUUUCUAGUAGGAGAGUGAGACUCUGACAAUUCUCCCCAGUCUACACUUCCUACACCUGCCCAGACCCAGGUUAUCAUCUGGAAUAAUAACUGCAUAGUGAAACAGUAUAUUAGAAGCUGCUCUGAAAGUUAGAUCCUUUAGUCUCUCUGGCCUCUGACUUACUUGCACGGGAAAAUGGCCAAAAAAGAAAAAAAAAAAAAGGAGAAAAGCCUGCCGAGGAUCUCAGAUGUAGGCAAUGGGUCCUCACCAGAACAUAAAAAUAGACCCUUAAGAGCCAUAUCAGUAGUGGGAUGUGUGUGGGUUUCUUCUUAUUUUUUUUUUUUAAUUCCUUUUGCAACAAACCACGUACUAGGAUCUGACGUUGUCUCUCUCUCUCUCUGUCUCUCUCCCUUUUUAAAAAAGCAUAUUUAAACUCACACACUUUACAUAAUGAGGAUUUCAGUGUAGGGUUUUUCUUCAGGAUGUCAUUUGUUCCUACUAAGAAUUGUCUGUUCCAAUGUUGGAGCAUUUGAUUGAAAAAUCCUUCUUAGCCUUGUUAAAGAUAUCUUACAAAUGAUUAGAAGAAUCGAUUCCUUCUGAGACUCAUCAGAUCAUUUCCUGCAAAAUCCUCAUCUUGCUGUCUACUUGUGGAAAAGAAGCAUACCUCUUGGAAACUACCUUCCUUA